UACGAAGGGUGCCAAGCGUUAAUCGGAAUUACUGGGCGUAAAGCGUGCGUAGGUGGUCUUUUAAGUCCGUUGUGAAAGCCUGGGCUCAACCUGGGAAUGGCAGUGGAUACUGGAAGGCUGGAGUACGGUAGAGGAGGGUGGAAUUCCCGGUGUAGCGGUGAAAUGCGUAGAGAUCGGGAAGGAACAUCAGUGGCGAAGGCGGCCCUCUGGACCAGUACUGAACGGCUGAGGCACGGAAAGCGAUGGG
rnacentral:rRNA from 1 species